rnacentral:lncRNA from 1 species
GCAGAAAGUGUUUCAGGCUCUGCAGAGGUGACACUGGCGUGUUUCUGCACUCAGGGUGCCCUUCCUGCCUUUUCCUCCCGGACACAGAGUCACAAGUGUGCACAGGGAAUGACAGACUCGGCGUCCAGUGGAGCCAUCCCCUGGCCUCGGAGUAGGAGGCGCGCCCAGGCCAGGCCAGACCACAGUGUAACAGGAGGGAGGAGGGCUUGCUUCUUUCAGGCAAGAAAAUUAAAACGGACAAAGAAAUAAAAGUAUUAAAUGUAUAGGAAAAACUGGAGUUUUUAUGACAGCGAUCAUCUAUAAAGAAACCAAGAGAAGUAAGCAAACAUUUGAACUAGCUCAGACAAGCAGCCUGCUUCACCCGCAGUUCACAAGGAAAACCCACAAUCAUAACGUUAAAAAUAUUCCCAAGCGCCGGGCGCGGUGGCUCACGCCUGUAAUCCCAGAACUUUGGAAGGCCAAGGUGAGAAAAUUGCUUAAGGUCAGGAGUUCAAGACCAGCCUAACCAACAUGGUGAAACCCCAUCUCUACUAAAAAUACAAAAAUUAGCCAGGCGUGGUGGCAGGUGCCUGUAAUCCCAGCAACUCGGGAAGCUGAGGUACGAGAAUCGCUUGAACCUGGGAGGGGGAAGUUGCAGUGAGCCGAGAUAGCGCCAUUGCACUCCAGCCUGGGCGACAGAGCGAGACUAAAAAAUGAAAUAUGAAAUGAAAUGAAAUAAUGAAAUGAAGAAAUGAAAUAUAAAAUAAAAUAAUCCCAAGCUUGGGACCCAGACUCUAACUGCUGAAAUGGAACCCCAGUGUGGAUCAGAACCUGGUGAUGAGACAGGGACACUUAAGAAUUCAACUUUGGGAGCUCAAGGUGCCCUCCAGUCCUCUCCUCACAGUGUGGAAACACUCUUUCCUUCAAAACCUUCAUUUGUACCAGCAGGAAACUCUCACCCGGAGUCAAUGUAAAGUCGUGACCUAAAUAAAUUGUCAUGUUCCCAAACCUUUUCUCCAGGGGACAAUGCAAACAAGUUUUUCACUGAGUCUGACCCUCACAGAUUUUCUUCAUGUAUACAAAUUACAGCCUGACUCAGCGACCCCAUGAAUGCUAAAACCAAAACACUGUCCAGGAAAUGGCCCCAGGCGCCAAAGGCUCCAGACUGGUCUCAGGCUCUCCUGCCCACUGCAGUUUAUUCACUUGCUUCUCACCAACACUGAUCCACUUAGGUAAGAAAAAAGACCUUCAAUCCCCUUUGCUGUUUGUUUGUUUUUAAGAAACUAGCAGAGUUCCUGCUUUCCUUCUGUGGUUAUGUAUAAGCUGGAAGACAAAAAAUUCUAAAAUACUUUAUAUGGAUUUUAAAACUGGCAAGUAAUGAUUCCUUUGAGAAAACAAAGAUAUCAGCUAUGCUAUUAUGAUUUAUA